rnacentral:rRNA from 1 species
ACGUAGGGGGCAAGCGUUGCUCGGAAUCACUGGGUUUAAAGGGCUCGCAGGCGGGCAUAUUAGUCGUGGGUUUAAUCUCCGAGCUUAACUCGGAUACGCCUGCGAUACUGUAUGCCUCGAGGGAGAGAUAGGAAACAGGAAUUCCCGGUGUAACGGUUGAAUGUGUAGAUAUCGGGAGGAACACCAAUAGCGAAGGCAAGUUUCUAGCUCUUUACUGACGCUCAGGAGCGAAAGCGUGGGUAGCAAACAG